rnacentral:rRNA from 1 species
AACGAACGCUGGCGGCAUGCCUAACACAUGCAAGUCGAACGAUGCUUUCGGGCAUAGUGGCGCACGGGUGCGUAACGCGUGGGAAUCUGCCCUUGGGUUCGGAAUAACAGUUGGAAACGACUGCUAAUACCGGAUGACGUCGAUAAGACCAAAGAUUUAUCGCCUGAGGAUGAGCCCGCGUAAGAUUAGGUAGUUGGUGGGGUAAAGGCCUACCAAGCCGACGAUCUUUAGCUGGUCUGAGAGGAUGAUCAGCCACACUGGGACUGAGACACGGCCCAGACUCCUACGGGAGGCAGCAGUGGGGAAUAUUGGACAAUGGGUGAAAGCCUGAUCCAGCAAUGCCGCGUGAGUGAUGAAGGCCUUAGGGUUGUAAAGCCCUUUUACCCGGGAUGAUAAUGACAGUACCGGGAGAAUAAGCCCCGGCUAACUCC